rnacentral:rRNA from 1 species
CCUACGGGAGGCAGCAGUGAGGAAUAUUGGUCAAUGGACGAGAGUCUGAACCAGCCAAGUAGCGUGAAGGAUGACUGCCCUAUGGGUUGUAAACUUCUUUUAUAUGGGAAUAAAAUGUUCCACGUGUGGGAUUUUGUAUGUACCCUAUGAAUAAGGAUCGGCUAACUCCGUGCCAGCAGCCGCGGUAAUACGGAGGAUCCGAGCGUUUUCCGGAUUUAGUGGGUUUAAAGGGAGCGUAGGUGGAUUGUUAAGUCAGUUGUGAAAGUUUGCGGCUCAACCGUAAAAUUGCAGUUGAAACUGGCAGUCUUGAGUGCAGUAGAGGUGGGCGGAAUGCGUGGUGUAGCGGUGAAAUGCUUAGAUAUCACGAAGAACUCCGAUUGCGAAGGCAGCUCACUGGACUGCAACUGACACUGAGGCUCGAAAGUGUGGGUAUCAAACAGGAUUAGAUACCCCAGUAGUC